AUGCAAGAAAUGUUGGUUGACGAAGAAGUUGUCUUAAAUGAAGAUGAAAUAUUUACACAAGUUCUUGGUGGGAAACGUUCUGGCCAUGUUAGAGGGAUGGGAAAAUAUGUCAUACCUACCCCAUCCUCUUCACAUUCGCGAUAUGGCACCCAAGUCAACCUUGAGUUAAAGGAAACAAAGCUCGAAGUGACCAAGUUGUCAGAUCAAUUAUUGGAAAAAGAAAGAAAAAGAGAUCAACAAAUAGAAGAAAUGCAAAAUGAAUCAAAUCGACGUAUUGAUGAGAUUCAAAAAGAAGCAAACCGACAUGUUGAGGAGAUUCAGAAAGAAUCAAAGCGCCAAUAUGAUCUUCUAUUGUCACGUAUUUUAGGAGCACAAGGUCAUAAUUUUGCUCAAUUUGAUGGGCAAGGUUAAAGAGAUUCGAUUCGAAAACUUCACGUCUUUUGUGCUAUAGAGUAUGGGGAAUCUACCACCGCCGACACUCUUGUGGCUUAUGUUAAAUUAUAGUUGCAUUAAUUAAAUUUUGGAUACACUUAAUGUUUUAUCAGAUUUUUGGAUGCACCAAAUGUUCUAGAUGUAAUUUGACGAGGAAGACUUAGUUUUUCAAUACUUAAUGUUUUAUCAUAUUUCGU